rnacentral:rRNA from 1 species
UUGUUUUUUUAGGGUGAAAUCGGGAAUUUUUAUUGAUAAUGCUCUAAUCUUUAAGAUUUGGUGAAUGAAUCAGAUUAGUACCUGAUUAAACAAAAAUUAAAAGAGCAGGAGUAAAGUUGUAUUUAAACUGUAAGAAUAUUGGCAGGUUUUUAAAUUAUCUUUGGAGGUUGAGUAGUAAUUGAGAACCCUCAUUAACAACUUUUACUGUAGGCGCAUGUAUGAUCGUUUAUUUUAUUCUUAAGGAUUGUAAUUUUAGAUUAAUUUAUUUUCUGUAAAAAUAGAUAAAUACUUGGUGUAUGUAAAAGAUUUAAUUUGACCUACAAUAUGCUAUCUUGUGGAUACUUUUUUAGUAGAAGGUUGAAAAUGUAAAAGACAGUAAGUUUUUUUUUAUAUAAAGCUGAAGUUUAUUUAAAAACGGCACAAA